ACGGACACAAUCAAAAUUAAACAACAAUCACAAGCAAGUCAAGUUUCAUCUCUUAAUCUUACAAAAUCAAGUUCUACCGGCUCGUUCUACCCUUGGAAAGGCUCAAUUUGGUGGGGUGAUCCUUCAUUUCCCAUAACGACCGGAAGGGUCGUUACACCUCCGUAUGAAGGGAGGGCACGAUCGACUAUGAUGCCUAUUUAGUACUGUGGUUUUGUACUCAUACUAUCUUGUUGUACUCUUUCUAUGAGUGCAGAGUAUGCUGUUGGAGAGUCGUCUAUCCCUCGAGGCUGAUCCCGAGGCUUCCUGUCAAAGUUUCUAGGGUGAGCUUGCUUGAUGGAUUCUGCAGCCCAGAGAUUCUUCUGCUUACUUGUCUCUUCUAUUUUCGAGACAGUAGUUCUAUUUGGAGACAUGUUGAUUAUUCCAGACUUGUAUUAUUAGUCGCUCUUGUUCCAUUCAGAACAGAUUUGGGAUUGAUGUAUUUCCGCACUUGUAGUAUUUCCUAUUUAUGCUAGACCUAUUAUGUUAUUAUUAUUAGGUGUUGAAUUUACUGUAUUGCUAUUGGUUGUUGAUUAAGGGACGAGUUCGCCUACUGAGGUGAAAAUGGUAGGUGCCCGCGCGUUCCCUAUGUUGGGAUGUGACAUUAAUACUCAAUGUAUUAAUUAUUUUUUCUUUCAGAGUACCUAGGCUUACCUUUGAAUAUUGAUUAGCCAGCUUUUUUCUCGAUGCACCAUCUGUGUGAAAAUUGAUGAGGAAAUAGAACCAGAUGUGCAGAUUUCUUCCAACACUCCGUGAGUGUGUAGUUACAUUUGUCUUGUGUUUACUUGGGGGUUGAGACAACUUCAAUUGUAAUAGUCUAGAUGAUUUAGAGCAUGCUCAAACUCUAAGGUGGAUUUUUGUUUUUUCGACAUUCUAUUUUCUCUAAGACUGUAGUUGUUUUAAUUUUAUCGUAGAAACUAUAUAAGUUUUUAUUUAUGUCUUACUUAUCAA